AUACUCACCUUGCUCUUGGGGGACUGAGGAGAGGGAUGAAUCACAAUGAACCUGAACUUGCCCCUUCUGGCAACAGGAGAGGAGUCAGUCUGGAGGGCACAGGGCAAGGAAGAUGCUCCUUGCCAAAGUGAAGUCCCUGGGUUAGAGGGCCCUCCUCACAGGAUCUUCUCUGGGCCCCACCUUGAGGGCCCAGAGGUUCAGAGGAGCCUCCUCAAGAGCCCAGUACCCUAUAAGUCUCCAGAAGUUAUUCCAGGGAAAUUGGGGAUUUGGAUGGAGAAAAUCCCAAGGAAUGGACUUCAGCAGACGAACCUGUGGCGAGAUGAAUUCAUUCGUCCUGGGAGAAUGGAUAACAUACCCAUGUCAUUGCAAGAACUGCCUACUGAUAACCUAAAGAAGAGUCCCACCUACAGCUCUCUGCACACCAGCCCAUUGGCCAUUCUUGACUUCUCUGGUACCAGGACAUUCCAGGACCAGGGCACAGAUCCCCUUAAGAAGAACCCCAUCUACAACUCUCUGCACACCAGCACCUCAAAUAAUAUUGAUUUUUCUGGCACCAGGUCAUUCCAAGACCUUCCCGCCGAUUCCCCUAAGAAGAGUCCUACGUUCGGCAAUCUAUACAACAGUACACUGGCUAACAUUGACUUCUCUAAUUCUAGGCCGUUCCAGGAUCUCUGUAUCGAUCCUGCUAAACAUACCUCUUUGUACACCACCCCAGUAAUCAACACUGAUAGGCCACGAAGCCGGACCCUCAACACUGGAGUCUCCUCAUUGAAUGAGAACUCUCCUUCCUUGUGGGCUCCUAGAAUGGAUACUUUUGUACCUCACUUGAUGUCAUCUAAUCGGAAGGGAGGACAGACAGGACCUUACCAGUUUUUUCCUCCACUCACCCCACUUCGGACUCAAAGCACCAACCAAGGCAGCUCUGAGUCUCCCCGAUAGCCAGCUAGCCAGAAUGGCUCCUGAAGAACGAGACAAUAUGAAGAACAACGUGGCAAAUCCAGGGACACAGGGGUGGAGAGAAGAAAGGGACAAUUUCAGCAACUCCCUCUGCCCCCUUUCCCCUUACACUCUCUCUCUCCCCCCAAAUAAAAUUAACUAAAAACAGACACACAACCAACCAAUAGCUCAUAGGCUAUGAAGCCUUUCCAGAAACCAAGAGCCAAAUGUCUUCACUGAAGACAUAUUUCAACUCCAUGGAAGGCCUUCUCCCCUCUGACUUUGCUCAGGGUCAUAUGGUUUAAGAGUCCACUGAGGAAGAACUCUCCAACUCUCCAGCCUGUCGCCCUCCCUGAGCUAACAAGCCAGCCCUAACAUCAAUUAUAGCUCACAUACCUGUAAUAAUUUAGGGUUUACAAAGCACUUUCCCCACAAAUAAAAUAGUGGAAAGGG
rnacentral:lncRNA from 1 species